rnacentral:rRNA from 1 species
AGAGUUUGAUCAUGGCUCAGAUUGAACGCUGGCGGCAGGCCUAACACAUGCAAGUCGAGCGGUAGCACAGAGAGCUUGCUCUCGGGUGACGAGCGGCGGACGGGUGAGUAAUGUCUGGGAAACUGCCUGAUGGAGGGGGAUAACUACUGGAAACGGUAGCUAAUACCGCAUAAUGUCGUAAGACCAAAGUGGGGGACCUUCGGGCCUCAUGCCAUCAGAUGUGCCCAGAUGGGAUUAGCUAGUAGGUGGGGUAACGGCUCACCUAGGCGACGAUCCCUAGCUGGUCUGAGAGGAUGACCAGCCACACUGGAACUGAGACACGGUCCAGACUCCUACGGGAGGCAGCAGUGGGGAAUAUUGCACAAUGGGCGCAAGCCUGAUGCAGCCAUGCCGCGUGUGUGAAGAAGGCCUUCGGGUUGUAAAGCACUUUCAGCGGGGAGGAAGGCGAUAAGGUUAAUAACCUUGUCGAUUGACGUUACCCGCAGAAGAAGCACCGGCUAACUCCGUGCCAGCAGCCGCGGUAAUACGGAGGGUGCAAGCGUUAAUCGGAAUUACUGGGCGUAAAGCGCACGCAGGCGGUCUGUCAAGUCGGAUGUGAAAUCCCCGGGCUCAACCUGGGAACUGCAUUCGAAACUGGCAGGCUAGAGUCUUGUAGAGGGGGGUAGAAUUCUAGGUGUAGCGGUGAAAUGCGUAGAGAUCUGGAGGAAUACCGGUGGCGAAGGCGGCCCCCUGGACAAAGACUGACGCUCAGGUGCGAAAGCGUGGGGAGCAAACAGGAUUAGAUACCCUGGUAGUCCACGCCGUAAACGAUGUCGAUUUGGAGGUUGUGCCCUUGAGGCGUGGCUUCCGGAGCUAACGCGUUAAAUCGACCGCCUGGGGAGUACGGCCGCAAGGUUAAAACUCAAAUGAAUUGACGGGGGCCCGCACAAGCGGUGGAGCAUGUGGUUUAAUUCGAUGCAACGCGAAGAACCUUACCUGGUCUUGACAUCCACAGAACUUUCCAGAGAUGGAUUGGUGCCUUCGGGAACUGUGAGACAGGUGCUGCAUGGCUGUCGUCAGCUCGUGUUGUGAAAUGUUGGGUUAAGUCCCGCAACGAGCGCAACCCUUAUCCUUUGUUGCCAGCGGUNCGAUUGACGUUACCCGCAGAAGAAGCACCGGCUAACUCCGUGCCAGCAGCCGCGGUAAUACGGAGGGUGCAAGCGUUAAUCGGAAUUACUGGGCGUAAAGCGCACGCAGGCGGUCUGUCAAGUCGGAUGUGAAAUCCCCGGGCUCAACCUGGGAACUGCAUUCGAAACUGGCAGGCUAGAGUCUUGUAGAGGGGGGUAGAAUUCCAGGUGUAGCGGUGAAAUGCGUAGAGAUCUGGAGGAAUACCGGUGGCGAAGGCGGCCCCCUGGACAAAGACUGACGCUCAGGUGCGAAAGCGUGGGGAGCAAACAGGAUUAGAUACCCUGGUAGUCCACGCCGUAAACGAUGUCGAUUUGGAGGUUGUGCCCUUGAGGCGUGGCUUCCGGAGCUAACGCGUUAAAUCGACCGCCUGGGGAGUACGGCCGCAAGGUUAAAACUCAAAUGAAUUGACGGGGGCCCGCACAAGCGGUGGAGCAUGUGGUUUAAUUCGAUGCAACGCGAAGAACCUUACCUGGUCUUGACAUCCACAGAACUUUCCAGAGAUGGAUUGGUGCCUUCGGGAACUGUGAGACAGGUGCUGCAUGGCUGUCGUCAGCUCGUGUUGUGAAAUGUUGGGUUAAGUCCCGCAACGAGCGCAACCCUUAUCCUUUGUUGCCAGCGGUCCGGCCGGGAACUCAAAGGAGACUGCCAGUGAUAAACUGGAGGAAGGUGGGGAUGACGUCAAGUCAUCAUGGCCCUUACGACCAGGGCUACACACGUGCUACAAUGGCAUAUACAAAGAGAAGCGACCUCGCGAGAGCAAGCGGACCUCAUAAAGUAUGUCGUAGUCCGGAUUGGAGUCUGCAACUCGACUCCAUGAAGUCGGAAUCGCUAGUAAUCGUAGAUCAGAAUGCUACGGUGAAUACGUUCCCGGGCCUUGUACACACCGCCCGUCACACCAUGGGAGUGGGUUGCAAAAGAAGUAGGUAGCUUAACCUUCGGGAGGGCGCUUACCACUUUGUGAUUCAUGACUGGGGUGAAGUCGUAACAAGGUAACCGUAGGGGAACCUGCGGUUGGAUCACCU